rnacentral:rRNA from 1 species
UACGUAGGGUGCGAGCGUUGUCCGGAAUUAUUGGGCGUAAAGAGCUUGUAGGCGGUUUGUCGCGUCUGCUGUGAAAAUCCGGGGCUCAACCCCGGACUUGCAGUGGUACGGGCAGACUAGAGUGUGGUAGGGGAGACUGGAAUUCCUGGUGUAGCGGUGAAAUGCGCAGAUAUCAGGAGGAACACCGAUGGCGAAGGCAGGUCUCUGGGCCACUACUGACGCUGAGAAGCGAAAGCAUGGGGAGCGAACAGG